AUAUGAUACAUAAUGUUGCAGAUGUUUGUAAUUUACAUAAAAGAUACUGAACUAGGGCUGGGCUCAGUGGCUUAUGCCUGUAAUCCUAGCACUUUGGGAGGCUGAGGUAGGCGGAUCGCUUGAGGCCAGGAGUUCAAGACCAACACGGCCAAUGUGGCGAAACCCCGUCUCUACUGAAAAAUACAAAAUUAGCUGGGUGUGAUGGUGGGUGCUUGUAGUCUCAGCUACUUGGGAGGCUGAAGCAAGAGAAUUGCUUGAAUCCAGGAGGAGGAGGUUGCAGUGAGCCCAGAUCAUGCCACUACACUCCAGCCUGGGUGACAGAGUGAGGCACUGUCUCAAAAAAAAAAAAAAAAAAAAAAAAGAUACUGAACUAGGCACUUGACAUCCAAGAUGU
rnacentral:lncRNA from 1 species